GACGAACGCUGGCGGCGUGCUUAACACAUGCAAGUCGAACGAAGUGGCGAACGGGUGAGUAAUACGUGGGUAACCUGCCCUCCUUUUUGGGAUAAGCCUUGGAAACGGGGUCUAAUACCGAAUAAAGGGGGAUGGGCUCGCGGCCUAUCAGCUUGGUGGUGGGGUGAUGGCCUACCAAGGCGGGGACGGGUAGCCGGCCUGAGAGGGGGGACGGGCACAUUGGGACUGGGAUAAGGGCCAGAAUCCCUAGGGGGGGAGCAGGGGGGGGUAAUGGACAAUGGACGAAAGCCUUGUGCAGGGAAGCCGGGUGGGGGAUGAAGGCUUUGGGGUUGUAAACCUCUUUUGCUAUCGAAAGGGUAGGUGGAGAAGAAGCGCCGGCUAACUACGUGCCAGCAGCCGCGGUAAUAC
rnacentral:rRNA from 1 species